AAUCAACGCUGGCGGCAUGCCUAACACAUGCAAGUCGAACGGGAAAGUGGGAGCAAUCCCAUGAGUAUAGUGGCGCACGGGUGAGUAACACGUGACUAACCUACCCUCGAGUGGGGAAUAACCCCGGGAACCGGGGCUAACACCGCAUAAUACCGCAAGGUCAAAUGCGCAAGCAGCUUGAGGAGGGGGUCGCGGUUGAUUAGCUAGUUGGUAGGGUAAUGGCCUACCAAGGCAGNGAUCAAUAGCCGGCCUGAGAGGGCGCACGGCCACACUGGAACUGAAACACGGUUCAGACUCCUACGGGAGGCAGCAGUGGGGAAUUUUGCGCAAUGGGGGAAACCCUGACGCAGCAACGCCGCGUGGAGGAUGAAGUCCCUUGGGACGUAAACUCCUUUCGACCGGGACGAUUAUGACGGUACCGGUGGAAGAAGCCCCGGCUAACUUCGU
rnacentral:rRNA from 1 species